CGAAGCCUGAUCCAGCAAUGCCGCGUGAGUGAUGAAGGCCUUCGGGUUGUAAAGCUCUUUCGCACGCGACGAUGAUGACGGUAGCGUGAGAAGAAGCCCCGGCUAACUUCGUGCCAACAGCCGCGGUAAUACGAAGGGGGCUAGCGUUGUUCGGAAUUACUGGGCGUAAAGGGCGCGUAGGCGGUGUGUCAAGUCAGGCGUGAAACGCCCCGGGCUCAACCGUGGGGACCGCGCUUGAGACUGGCACGCUAGAGUUCGGGAGAGGAUGGUGGAAUUCCCAGUGUAGAGGUGAAAUUCGUAGAUAUUGGGAAGAACACCGAUGGCGAAGGCAGCCAUCUGGACCGACACUGACGCUGAGGCGCGAAAGCGUGGGGAGCAAACAGGAUUAGAUACCCUGGUAGUCCACGCCGUAAACGAUGAGUGCUAGACGUUGGGGCCCUUAGGGCUUCGGUGUCGCAGCUAACGCGUUAAGCACUCCGCCUGAGGAGUACGGCCGCAAGGUUA
rnacentral:rRNA from 1 species